rnacentral:piRNA from 1 species
UCAUUGUUCAUUUUAGCCCUUUCUGGAGA